AUUGAACGCUGGCGGCAUGCCUUACACAUGCAAGUCGAACGGUAACGCGGGGCAACCUGGCGACGAGUGGCGAACGGGUGAGUAAUGCAUCGGAACGUGCCUGGUAGUGGGGGAUAACUGCUCGAAAGAGCAGCUAAUACCGCAUACGACCUGAGGGGUGAAAGGGGGGCAGGUCGCAAGACCUCUCGCUAUCAGAGCGGCCGAUGUCGGAUUAGCUAGUUGGUGGGGUAAGAGCCCACCAAGGCGACGAUCCGUAGCUGGUCUGAGAGGACGACCAGCCACACUGGGACUGAGACACGGCCCCAGACUCCUACGGGAGGCAGCAGUGGGGAAUUUUGGGCACAAUGGACGCAAGUCUGAUCCAGCCAUGCCGCGUGC
rnacentral:rRNA from 1 species